ensembl:snRNA U6 U6 spliceosomal RNA
GUGCUCGCUUUGGCAGCACAUACACUAAAAUUGGAAAGAUACAGAUAAGAUUAGUACGGCCCCCUGUGCAAAGAUGACACGCAAAUUCGUGAAGCGUUCCAUAAAAAA